AGGGUGUAAACGCUGCAGACUUGGUGUUGGAGGCCCUUUGGGGGCAUUCAGUGCCGGAGAGAAGUUGUUAAGUCUGCUACUUGGGGAGUACGUCCGCAAGGAUGAAACUUAAAGGAAUUGGCGGGGGAGCACCGCAACGGGAGGAGCGUGCGGUUUAAUUGGAUUCAACACCGUAAAACUCACCAGGGAAGACUGUUACAUGAAGGCCGAGAUGAAGACUCUGCUAGAUUUUCAGAGAGGUGGUGCAUGGCGUCAGUGACU
rnacentral:rRNA from 1 species